AGUGAACGCUGGCGGUAGGCCUAACACAUGCAAGUCGAACGGCAGCACAGUAAGAGCUUGCUCUUACGGGUGGCGAGUGGCGGACGGGUGAGGAAUACAUCGGAAUCUACUUUUUCGUGGGGGAUAACGUAGGGAAACUUACGCUAAUACCGCAUAAGACCUACGGGUGAAAGCAGGGGAUCUUCGGACCUUGCGCGAAUGAAUGAGCCGAUGUCGGAUUAGCUAGUUGGCGGGGUAAAGGCCCACCAAGGCGACGAACCGUAGCUGGUCUGAGAGGAUGAUCAGCCACACUGGAACUGAGACACGGUCCAGACUCCUACGGGAGGCAGCAGUGGGGAAUAUUGGACAAUGGGCGCAAGCCUGAUCCAGCCAUACCGCGUGGGUGAAGAAGGCCUUCGGGUUGUAAAGCCCUUUUGUUGGGAAAGAAAAGCAGCAGGUUAAUACCCCGCUGUUCUGACGGUACCCAAAGAAUAAGCACCGGCUAACUUCGUG
rnacentral:rRNA from 1 species